UCUUUUUGUCCAAGAAUUCUUGUGUCUAGAAAUGGACAGGGCCCAGGAAGAGAAGAGUUGACCCCAUGGUUACAUGACUGUGAUGUGUCUGUAUGCUAAUACUGUCAUGUACCAGGCCAGAGAAAGAGCAUAAAGUGUAUGUGCCUCAUAGAGCAGCUGUGGGUAAUUGGUCACUUGUGCUGAAGGGCUAGCCACUUCUUUAGCUUGAUUGAUUGGUUGCUAUUACAUGAUCUUUUCCAUUAUAUUAGAAUAACAUACGCCAGUUGUAUUUGAAGCGGACAAUAACAGAGAAUCAAAAAGAGUCAGACAUAGAGGGGGAACUUUGUCCAGCAGCCCCAUAGAGUCUGCAUGUUAGACACUGACCUUUUUGUAUCAAGAAUGCAUCAAGGCUCUUGAAAGCAGAGGUGCCUCAGAGAGUGACUCGGGUUGAGAGGCGGGCUUUCCAAGUGUGGCACAUUAUGAAUUUUACAAUGUAGGCAUGGGAAAGCAGAAGACGGGUAGAAAUAGGUGAGGCUGGCGAGGAGGGGAGAGCAAUGGUAUCAGGCUGAAGGACAGUCACCCCGUGAGAGCCCUGAGGCGUGCUUGAGCCGAGGUGCAGCACAGCCUGGGGAAUCACGCAGGAGGUGGCUUGGAAGGAAACCAAAAAGUGCACAGAGCUUCCUCAGCGCUGGGCCUUGAGGCUUAUUCUGCAUGCUUUGAAAGGAAGACGGUGAGCUUUACCUGGUGUUGGUUAGUCAAGUUCACUUGCAGACAUGAAGGACGAUUCUCUCAUCAUGAAGCCAGUUCAGAACCUCUCUUGAACUGACUACUUCUCCUGCUUGAGGAGUCCCGUGCAUUCGUCGACCACUUCUAAUUUAGGGUGUAUCAGUGACAGAGAAUAAAAAAAAGGAAGUUGAGGCAGGAUGGUUUAGAAUGCAGGUAUAUUAACUGCCUUCACUGGAGUGUGUAUUUUCAUUGUGAGAGAAGUGACUACUUACAUUUUAGAAAGUAAUUCUUUACAGACACACCUGUGGGACACAGACCGCAGGAUGUAGAACCCCACAAACUUGAGAUCAGAGAGUAGAGCAUGGCAUUCUGGGAGGAAUGGAGGUGGAGCAAGCCGUUUAUUGACACUGCUGACUGUGUUCAAAGUUCCCAAAAGGUGGUUUCAGGAACAGGCAGCUACACCCCUGUGCCUGUGUUCAGGUUUUAACACUAACUGGGAAUUCAUAGUCAUGUGUGAACUAUGGUUGUAAUACAUGCAUUCACCAUAACGGAAGCUUUAUCUGUAUCGUAGGCAGAUCUUUUAGUUGAAUCUUUGGGCUUAGUUCAUGUGUCAGAGCGAAAUGAAUUACGUUCGUUCUGAUGACGAGCUACUCCUUUUGUGAUCAAAAGUUCAUGUGAUCAAAUUUAGUCAUUACUGCAGGUGGAGGAAAAUGGAUCUGGCUUGAUUCUAGCCCCACAGUCGUCUGUGAAGUGUUUCCCUUCACGGCCAUAGGUUUUCGGUUUUUUCUUUCCUUUUGGGAUAGUUCUUUAUAAAUACAGAUGCACCGUAUUUUAGUCCUGUAGAAGGGAAGGGAAGAAGUGCUGGAACUGGCAUUUGUAUCUGUAACACUCAAAGAGAGCGACCCCUACCAUGCCGGAGUCUGUCCUGGCUGGAUUUAGUACCAUUGCGUGUACCUGCAUGUCCUCCUUGCAGGCAUAUCCCAGUUUCCCGGGUGGGUUUUUGUGCAUUGGUCCACAAAUGGAUUAGCUGGGAAGUUUCCAGGGCUAAGGGUGCAGGGGAAGCUGGAGGCCCUGCGGUGUACUCCUGCGUGCAAACUGUCUUCUGCAGAGGAGCCUUUGCUGGCGUAGCUCGUGUCAAGGUUUUGGAUGUUUAUCACUUGCAUUUUGGGGGACUUUAAAUUCCUCUGGCAAGAACCAGAGAUAAACUGAUUAGUGAGAAGAUUUGC
rnacentral:lncRNA from 1 species